CCUACGGGAGGCAGCAGUGGGGAAUAUUGGACAAUGGGCGAAAGCCUGAUCCAGCCAUGCCGCGUGUGUGAAGAAGGUCUUCGGAUUGUAAAGCACUUUAAGUUGGGAGGAAGGGCAGUAAGUUAAUACCUUGCUGUUUUGACGUUACCGACAGAAUAAGCACCGGCUAACUCUGUGCCAGCAGCCGCG
rnacentral:rRNA from 1 species